CAGCAGCCACGGGAAUACGUAGGUGGCAAGCGUUGUCCGGAAUUAUUGGGCGUAAAGGGCUCGCAGGCGGUUUCUUAAGUCUGAUGUGAAAGCCCCCGGCUCAACCGGGGAGGGUCAUUGGAAACUGGGAAACUUGAGUGCAGAAGAGGAGAGUGGAAUUCCACGUGUAGCGGUGAAAUGCGUAGAGAUGUGGAGGAACACCAGUGGCGAAGGCGACUCUCUGGUCUGUAACUGACGCUGAGGAGCGAAAGCGUGAGGAGCGAACAGGAUUAGAUACCCCCGUAGUCCCUGUCUCUUAUAA
rnacentral:rRNA from 1 species